rnacentral:snRNA from 1 species
AUACUUACCUGGUGUCGGGCUUUCUGGUGAUCAGCCAGGUCGGGGCCCUGUGCCGAGGCCUGCCAUUGCACUCCGGUUGGCUGAAGUACGCCUAUUUCCCAAACUGAGAUUGCUGGGACAUGUAAUUUUUGGUAGUAGGGCUUGGCGUGCACGUCAGCCCCC